GUGCUCGCUUCAGCAGCACAUAUACUAAAAUUGGAACGAUAUAGAGAAGAUUAGCGUGAACCUUGCAGGAUGAUACAAAUUCGUGGAAAGGAAUACUUUCAA
ensembl:snRNA U6 U6 spliceosomal RNA